rnacentral:rRNA from 1 species
UACGAAGGGGGCUAGCGUUGUUCGGAAUCACUGGGCGUAAAGGGCGCGUAGGCGGCCGAUCAAGUCGGGGGUGAAAGCCUGUGGCUCAACCACAGAAUUGCCUUCGAUACUGUUUGGCUUGAGACCGGAAGAGGUUAGUGGAACUGCGAGUGUAGAGGUGAAAUUCGUAGAUAUUCGCAAGAACACCAGUGGCGAAGGCGGGUCUCUGGGCAGUAACUGACGCUGAGGAGCGAAAGCGUGGGGAGCGAACAGG